GAUAUCUCUGAAAAAAGAAAAACGACGAUCAUCGAGUUUCGAACGCGACUCACAGUGAUCUGGCAAGCGGUAUUCUUCGAGCAACGUUAGAGAAUUCUCCACGCUGUAUCAUCUUCGUCACAAGCAUAUUCUACUUUAUGACGAUAAAACGAAGAGUCGACUGAAAAUGCAGUAAAGCAAUAAAAUCGUUAAUAUACAAUAGUCUUGAUAGAAUAAUGAUGUAAUUUUCCAGACGACUGCGUAAGUGUAACAUGAAAAGUAAUAAUCGUAAAAUAUGUGCACGAAUCAGAGUAAGAAUCGAGCCAGCCUUCGUCAUUCGUGAGUUAAAGUUGAAAAAUUGGAUUUUACACGAUCCACCAGAAAUUAUAAAUCACACAGUUACAAUAACAAUUAUUCAUAAUCGUAAAUAAUUCUAAAUCGGCAAAUGUAACUUUCCAGACGACUGUGCGAUAUUUCGAAACGGCGAGAACGGCUUCAACCCUUUCUAUACUCACAGAUGAUUCAACCGUGUCAUGUCCAAGAAGGUAUCCCUGUGAAGCGCCGUCAGUCGAUUGCCAGCCAGAUCCCUGAAAGCACCGUUUUUCCAACGAUUUUCUCGAUCGGAUUCCAUUGCCUCUCUGUUCGUUCUUUGACAAAGAUACACGACGAGGGAGGAGAAGCGAGAGGAAGAGAGAGAAAGCUUACAAUUUCAAUACAUCUCGAGGAACUAGUUGCGCCGCGGGAAGAUCCAACAGAUUCUGCCUCCAACAAGACACCGAUUUAGUUUCCGGCUGACACCUACACGGCCCUUCGGCGCAAAUCUCCCAAUCUUCCUCGGCGGAGCUCAUCUGCCAAACUGCGAACCAUUCGUAUUUUCGACGUGCUUCGAAACGAUUACGUGGACGAUACGAUUGAUAAAAAAGAAAAAGAAAAAAACGAAAGAACAGAGGAAAAAGAAGAAAGCUCGGACGAGAUAAAAAGCUACGCUUACCGGGUUGCUCAACCGCCCUGAGUCUUCUUUCCAAACGAGAUAAACGACUCUCGAGCUCCUCGAGAAUCGUGAUCGCGACGUUACCAUCCGCCGAAAUCGCUCCCGUUACCAUUUCCGACUCCAUUCCCGUAGUUGCGGAUCGUUCGAGAGUGGACUCUGAAUACGCGCAAUCGCGAGAACUGUCUGGUCGCGGCUUACAAUUUGCCCGAGAAAGAGUGGCCGAGAGCACGAGCAACAAUCGAACGACUGGGAUCAUCCUCGUAGGCAGCAAAAGCUUCUUGUUUCUCGAGGCACCCGAUUCGUUCGACUCGUCGCGCCAACUCUCCUCGCACGUUCGUUCCACUAUUCGAUCUCCUCUCGCUUCCCUCCGUCAUUCUCGUAAGGGCUUCCGGUUUGUGUUCCCGUUAAUAGUUGCAGAUUUUCGCGUAACGCUCGAGAUUGACAAACAAUGGUGGAGCUUCUAAGUAAGCUGACGCGACCUCACGAUCGCCUAUCUACCACUUAUCGUAAUCGCUGGUACCCCGGCACUCCGACCUCCUACUAAUGGCCACUCGCCUUCACUUCCAUUACGAAUCUAAACCUGCUGCCGUGCAUGUAUCGUUCUUCGAAAGGAAAGAAACGUACCAACGAAGACCAGCGAUUCUUGUCACGGGAGAGUUUCACGCGUUUUACCAGUUAAGCGGAUUACAUGGGGACAAUAAUGAAGUACACGCGAGCGUAUUCGCUGUGGAUAAAAACCGAUGCGAUUAAGUACAUACAUUAAGCGUAAAUAUACUUAAACGUGUUACAUGUAUAUCUAUGCGUACAUACACAACUUUCACCCUCUGGGUUCUUUUCUGUACGAUAGUUUACCAAGUAUUAACGAAUAUAAUUUGAUAAAGAUCGUUUUCAUUAUGAGCCCCUCGAUUGACGAGUUACGAGUUCCAGAUCGUAGACUUGUAUUUCGUAAGUUUAUAUUAAACGGAACAAUCAAAUAACUCGUAAUUUGUAAAAUUUUCUUUGCACAAUCACAAUUGUUUUAUUAACAAAUUCGUUACUAUAAUGUGACAAAAUUUAUCGAUACUAAUAUUUCAUAACUACUUGUGACUUGUGAUAUAAUUAUGAUGAGUGUGUUACAUUGUUGCUACGUGUACUCCUUUUAACGACGACUAUUGUGUGCGCCCUUUGCGAGAAAAAAAUCGCUCACCGGGCGUAAUUGUAAAACUUGUGGUUUCUCUUUUUACGAACUCUUUUAUUUUCAUCUUCGGUUUCAUUUUCAUUCGAGUUUCUUUAUUCUCGCCGAAGCUAAAGCUAGAGCUAAAGCCCAAGCGCGACGUCACAUAAGCAUAAGCGUUGCAGGUGUUUUCCCAUUAACGUGGACGAAGCAGACGGUUGGUGCAACGAAAGAUCCGUCCGUUGUUUAAGAGAGCCUCACGCCGCCAGCUCCGGCACACUCGCCCUUGUUCUUCAUUACCAGCUCUGUAAAAACAGGUCGAAAGGAAACGUAAAUUGGCGCGUUGGACCGUAUUUCCGGAAAUUCGUAUUUCGAUCGAAAUGAAAUUUGACGAGUAUCUCGGAAAGAACGAUGAACCUAAGAUAUGAAAAGAUUUGACAACUUAGAAUACAGAAUAUUCUAUGUAACUGAAUUAUCAAGCUAUAGGUUUAAAAUAGUAGAAGAUCGAAAAAAAUAUCGUUAGCCAAAAUUAUUGUAAAUAGCUCCAAAUGUAUGUGCAAUGUAAAGUGAAAGUGUUCUAAACACUUUAAAGUCACCGCUAUCUUUUUUUAAAGAACCGCAAUAAUUUUUUUAACGGAACUAUCAAUCUUGAUUGCUAUUAGAUGCUGCGUUCGAAAAUUGCUGCAAAUAUAAGUCAGGUAUAUAAUUGAGGGAUACGUGCAUGUAUUGUAUUCAGCUCGAAAACUCUGAAAACGCUCAAUAACCGAAAAGAACACCAACUCCUUUAAUAGGACGACAUCGGUGUUGGUUUGACUGGUUGUACUUCAGAUUCAUCGUUCCUUGUUACAUAUAUAUCCGCAAAAAUUCAUCUCGAUUUGUCACCGAUUUCAGAAUACAGGUAUAUUCGGAAGGACAUGCGCGCGAAUCACCGAUUCGGACAAAGAGACACACUCACUUGUUCCCAUUUCGCAGUUGUGAACGUCCAGAGCACAUUGGGUACCGAACGUCCUCGGCUUAAAGCUAGCGUCGUUCGGAUCAUGGACGCAAAUCGGAUCGUACGCAGCUCCACAUUCUUUCGCGCAAUCCUUCUUAUUCCUUUUCGCCUCUUUGGCCGCCUCUUUAGCUGCCUUUACGUCCUUGGAUGCGGUCGCGGUCUCCUUGAUCUCCUUAGGCUCUUUGACCCGUUUCGUCGACAUGGUGGUCGUAUCCGUGGGCAAGGCGCUCGUCUCCUCGAUAAAAGCGAGGGCGCAUACGACGACCAAUGCUAA